UACGUAGGGUGCAAGCGUUAAUCGGAAUUACUGGGCGUAAAGCGUGCGCAGGCGGUUUUGUAAGUUUGUCGUGAAAUCCCCGGGCUUAACCUGGGAAUUGCGAUGAAGACUGCAAGGCUAGAAUCUGGCAGAGGGGGGUAGAAUUCCACGUGUAGCAGUGAAAUGCGUAGAGAUGUGGAGGAACCCCGAUGGCGAAGGCAGCCCCCUGGGUCAAGAUUGACGCUCAUGCACGAAAGCGUGGGGAGCAAACAGG
rnacentral:rRNA from 1 species